GUGGGGAAUCUUGCGCAAUGCGCGAAAGCGUGACGCAGCAAUGCCGCGUGGGGGAAGAAGGCCUUCGGGUUGUAAACCUCUUUCAGUUGGGACGAAGUGUGUGCGGUGAAUAGCCGUUACACAUGACGGUACCUUCACAAGAAGCCCCGGCUAACUACGUGCCAGCAGCCGCGGUAAUACGUAGGGGGCAAGCGUUGUCCGGAAUCAUUGGGCGUAAAGAGCGCGUAGGCGGCCCUGUAAGUCCGCUGUGAAAGUCAAGGGCUCAACCCUUGAAUGCCGGUGGAUACUGCAGGGCUAGAGUCCGGAAGAGGCGAGUGGAAUUCCUGGUGUAGCGGUGAAAUGCGCAGAUAUCAGGAGGAACACCGAUGGCGAAGGCAGCUCGCUGGGACGGUACUGACGCUGAGGCGCGAAAGCGUGGGGAGCAAACAGGAUUAGAUACCCGGGUAGUCC
rnacentral:rRNA from 1 species